UACGGGGGGGGCAAGUGUUCUUCGGAAUGACUAGGCGUAAAGGGCACGUAGGCGGUUAAUCGGGUUGAAAGUGAAAGUCGCCAAAAACCGGCGGAAUGCUCUCGAAACCAAUUAACUUGAGUGCAGUAGAGGAGAGUGGAACUCCAUGUGUAGCGGUGAAAUGCGUAGAUAUAUGGAAGAACACCAGAGGCGAAGGCGGCUCUCUGGACUGUAACUGACGCUGAGGCUCGAAAGUGUGGGUAGCAAACAG
rnacentral:rRNA from 1 species